UACAGAGGGUGCGAGCGUUAAUCGGAAUUACUGGGCGUAAAGCGCGCGUAGGCGGCUUUGCAAGUCGGGUGUGAAAUCCCCAGGCUUAACCUGGGAACUGCAUUCGAGACUGCAUUGCUAGAGUAUGGGAGAGGGAAGUGGAAUUUACGGUGUAGCAGUGAAAUGCGUAGAUAUCGUAAGGAAGACCAGUGGCGAAGGCGAGUCUCUGGACAGUUACUGACGCUGAGGCACGAAGGCCAGGGGAGCAAACGGG
rnacentral:rRNA from 1 species